rnacentral:ncRNA from 1 species
UAAUUUGUGAGGAGUAGAGAUCCUCCGCAGUGGAAACAAGGAAACACUUGCGCCUGAUCUCACGA